GAUGAACGCUGACAGAAUGCUUAACACAUCAGCAAUUGAUUGGUGGCGGACGGGUGAGUAACGCGUAAAGAACUUGCCUCACAUCUAGGGACAACAUUAGGAAACGAAUGCUAAUACCUAAUCCUGUGAGAGAGCUUUGCGGCCCAUUAGCUAGUUGGAGAGGUAACGGCUCACCAAGGCGAGGAUGGGUAGCCGGCCUGAGAGGGUGAUCGGCCACAGGGGGACUGGGACACGGCCCUUACGCAUACGGGAGGCAGCAGUGGGGAAUAGUGGACAAUAGACCAAAGUCUGAUGCAGCAAUUCUGUGUGCAAGAUGAAGUUUUCGGAAUGUAAAGUGCUUUCAGUUGGGAAGCGGUACCAACAGAAGAAGCGACGGCUAAAUACGUGCCAGCAGCCGCGGUAAUUC
rnacentral:rRNA from 1 species